rnacentral:rRNA from 1 species
GAUGAACGCUGGCGGCGUGCCUAAUACAUGCAAGUCGAGCGGAAGGACGAGAAGCUUGCUUCUCUGAUGUUAGCGGAGGACGGGAGAGUCACGCGUGGAUCCCCUCCCUAUCAGUCUGGGAUCACUUCGGGACUCCGGCGAUAAUCCCGGAUAAUCUCUUGCACCGCAUGGUUCAAUGGUGAAAGACGGUCUUGCCGGCGGUUCGGGAUGGAUAUGCGCUGUAUCAGCUUGUUGGUGCGGUAGUGGCUUACCACGGCAACGCUGGGUAGCCGGCCUGAGAGGGUGAACGGCGACAUUGGCACUGAGGGACGGCCCAGACUCGUAAGGGAGGCAACAGUGGGGAAUCUUGCACAAUGGGCGGAAGCGUGAUGAAGCAACGCCGCGUGCGGGAUAACGGCUUUCGGGUUGUAAACCGCUUUCGCAUGUGACGAAGCGUGAGUGACGGUAAUGGGUAAAGAAGCCCCAGCUAACUACGUG